AUACAGAGGGUGCAAGCGUUAAUCGGAAUUACUGGGCGUAAAGGGCGCGUAGGUGGUUAGUUUAGUCAGAUGUGAAAUCCCCGAGCUUAACUUGGGAAUUGCAUCUGAUACUGGCUAACUAGAGUACAGUAGAGGGAAGUGGAAUUUCCGGUGUAGCGGUGAAAUGCGUAGAUAUCGGAAGGAACACCAGUGGCGAAGGCGACUUCCUGGACUGAAACUGACACUGAGGCGCGAAAGCGUGGGGAGCAAACAGGAUUAGAUACCCUGGUAGUCC
rnacentral:rRNA from 1 species